AUAUUCUAUACAGAUGAUUACACAUUAGCUAGUGAAAGCAAGCAUUUCUUUAAUUUAUAUUUAAAGGGAACAUGGGAAGGACUAGUUCUGAUGUCACUUGGGAGUUCAUUCCAUAGGCGCCUGGAACGAGUAGGAGGGGGCAGGAGGCGAAACCGGGAUCGGAGAUACGACAUACCAACUACUUAACAUACCGAUCUCGCUCCAAUUAAAAUGAGACCAAGCACCAACAGAUUUUGAAUAAAAAAUAGUCAGCAAAAUUAGUAGCAACAAAUACCCAGAAAAAACUUAUGAAGUACACAAGAAAUCAGUCGAAUUGAGAACCUCCUUUUUUAAAUCGUUUAAGAACAGGUUUACUCCUCUAAUUUUUCAAUAAUGAUUUUUAUUGUUUUUAUUGUAAUAAAAUAGGUAAAAACUAAAAUAUA